GUGCUCGAUGUGGCAGCACAUAUACUAAAAUUGGAAUGAUACAGAGAAGGUUAGCAUGACCCCUGCACAAGGAUGACAUGCAAGUUUUUGAAGCAUUCCAUAUUUUU